GAGUUUGAUCAUGGCUCAGGAUGAACGCUGGCGGCGUGCUUAACACAUGCAAGUCGAACGAACCUUCGGGUUAGUGGCGGACGGGUGAGUAACGCGUGAGAAUCUGCCCUCAGGAGGGGGAUAACGGUUGGAAACGACCGCUAAUACCCCAUAUGCCUACUGGUGAAAUGAAUUUCGCCUGAGGAUGAGCUCGCGUCUGAUUAGCUAGUUGGUGAGGUAAUGGCUCACCAAGGCUUCGAUCAGUAGCUGGUCUGAGAGGAUGAUCAGCCACACUGGGACUGAGACACGGCCCAGACUCCUACGGGAGGCAGCAGUGGGGAAUUUUCCGCAAUGGGCGAAAGCCUGACGGAGCAACGCCGCGUGAGGGACGAAGGCCUCUGGGCUGUAAACCUCUUUUCUCAAGGAAGAAGAUAUGACGGUACUUGAGGAAUAAGCCACGGCUAAUUCCGUGCCAGCAGCCGCGGUAAUACGGGAGUGGCAAGCGUUAUCCGGAAUUAUUGGGCGUAAAGCGUCCGCAGGCGGCUUUUCAAGUCUGCUGUUAAAGCGUGGAGCUUAACUCCAUCAUGGCAGUGGAAACUGAAAGGCUUGAGUAUGGUAGGGGCAGAGGGAAUUCCCGGUGUAGCGGUGAAAUGCGUAGAUAUCGGGAAGAACACCAGUGGCGAAGGCGCUCUUGCUGGGCCAUUACUGACGCUCAUGGACGGAAAGCCAGGGGAGCGAAAGGGAUUAGAUACCCCCUGUAGUCCUGGCCGUAAACGAUGAACACUAGGUGUCGGGGGAAUCGACCCCUUCGGUGUCGUAGCUAACGCGUUAAGUGUUCCGCCUGGGGAGUACGCACGCAAGUGUGAAACUCAAAGGAAUUGACGGGGGCCCGCACAAGCGGUGGAGUAUGUGGUUUAAUUCGAUGCAACGCGAAGAGCCUUACCAGGGUUUGACAUCCUGCGAACCUCUUAGAAAUUUGAGGGUGCCUUCGGGAAUGCAGUGACGGGUGGUGCAUGGCUGUCGUCAGCUCGUGUCGUGAGAUGUUGGGUUAAGUCCCGCAACGAGCGCAACCCACGUUUUUAGUUGCCAGCAUUUAGUUGGGCACUCUAGAAAGACCGCCGGUGAUAAACCGGAGGAAGGUGUGGAUGACGUCAAGUCAUCAUGCCCCUUACACCCUGGGCUACACACGUACUACAAUGCUACGGACAAAGGGCAGCAAACUCGCGAGAGCUAGCAAAUCCCAUAAACCGUGGCUCAGUUCAGAUCGUAGGCUGCAACUCGCCUACGUGAAGUAGGAAUCGCUAGUAAUCGCAGGUCAGCAUACUGCGGUGAAUACGU
rnacentral:rRNA from 1 species